GCCAGCCUAGCAGUAGAGAGGCCUGGAGGAGCCAUGAGCACUGAGUGAAGGAGGCAGAGGAGGCUCUUCUGCAGUGCAAAGUCCAAUAAAUUUAUUAGCAGAGGCAGCAGGAGGGUACACAGCAGGGAAUUCCCAAACAGCAGCACAAGCAAAAAAAGCCCUCAUCAGCCCUGUGCAUGGGUUUUUAAAAUCUCUCAAAACAGGGGGUAGACACCAUACAGUAACCAGUAAGCGAGUCUUGGGGUGUGGUUUUGAGGGCUACAACAAAUCAGAACAAGGGGAGGAGAGAGGGUUGGGAUAAGGAUUGGAUCUUAGGGUGAGGGACAGGGAACUUUCUGGAACAAAGGGUAGAAUUUGGGCUGAUGGACAGGGCAAAGGGGCCGGGUUGUCUUGACAGACAGGGAAAAAGCUGGGAAGGAGGGAGGGGAUUCCUGGAGGGACAGUUGGGUAGGAGGACAUGACACAGGGGAGAAACUAACUGUAAUAACUCGGGGAGCACCUGAAUAUACCACAAGGGCAAUAUUAAUGUUGUGCCUGAGUCUUCCGGAGGCGAGCCUGUGAACCAGGCUGCAGCAGAGGAAGCCUCAUCUGGCACCAAGAGCUGCAGGAACAGUUCCCCAGAGCCUGAGGAGCUUGAUUCUGUGUGAUCAACCUCUGCAGGAGGGCUGCCUUGUGUGGCAGGAAGAGACAGAGGGAGAACCUGUGACCAUUGGGCAGGUAGAAUUCCUCUGUCUCUAGUAUAGUAUAGUUAUGUUUAUUUAUCUAGGUAGUUGUAUUUAUAGAUUUGUGUAAUUAUAUUUAUCUAUAUAGAUAGAGAUCUGUGCAGUUAAUUUUUUUUUGUUUUAGAUGUAUAUUGUUAUUGUUAUAGCUUUAGAUGGGUUGUUAUAGUUACAGAUGUGCACAGUUGCAUUUUUACCAGUGUAUAGUUACAUUUACAUAUAUACAUUUGUAAAUGCAUAUUUAUAUUUGUAUAUGGAGGUUUAGCUAAAUAGAUUGAUAUCUAUAUACCCCUUUUUUUAACCUCUUUCCUGGCUCUGCUUCCUCC